rnacentral:rRNA from 1 species
UGGGGAAUCUUCCGCAAUGGACGCAAGUCUGACGGAGCAACGCCGCGUGAGUGAAGACGGCCUUCGGGUUGUAAAGCUCUGUUACUCGGGAAGAACGAUUCGUUUGUGAACAAUGAACGGAAGUGACGGUACCGAAAGAGAAAGCCACGGCUAACUACGUGCCAGCAGCCGCGGUAAUACGUAGGUGGCAAGCGUUGUCCGGAAUUAUUGGGCGUAAAGAGCGCGUAGGCGGUAUGGUAAGUCUGUCUUAGAAGUGCGGGGCUUAACCCCGUGAGGGGACAGAGACUGUCAUACUGGAGUCUCGGAGAGGAAAGCGGAAUUCCUAGUGUAGCGGUGAAAUGCGUAGAGAUUAGGAAGAACACCGGUGGCGAAGGCGGCUUUCUGGACGAGCACUGACGCUGAGGCGCGAAAGCGUGGGGAGCGAACAGG